UAGAGCUGCAGUGAGCUGUUUGCCAGAAAGAUUCAAACUCUGCCCGGCGUGACCUCUGUUAGCUCGUGUGGAGAGUGGGGGCUUAUCUCCUCGGCUUCUUGUCCUUUAGGGUUCAUACCUGUGGGCUCAGGUCACCCUCUUCUCAUUAGCUUAGAAAAAUUAUAUCACUUCAUUAGAGGUGUUUGUUCAGCUUCUGAGUGUCCUCAGGCGUUUGGAUGCUUUGCUGGAGAUCUCCACUGGGUCCACUCCAUCAUAAUGAAGCUUCAACACAGGCCUCCACAGAGCUCCAAGAGAGAAAUCCAGGAAGGAGAAAGUGAAGGGAGAUUGGCCAACCUGACUUCAAAACAGAGUAAGCAGACUUGAUCUCACCAUGUCUUGGCUAUCCUGGGGAUUGCAAUUGCACUGAGCCCAGAAUAGAUGUGCAUGGAAAUUGCACAUUUUCAACUGAUGGCUGCACAAGAUCAGAAGCCGUGGCAAUGCUGACACUUUUGGCCUGGAACUUGGCAGGGCUGUGAAAAACUGUGGAGCUGCUGUUGCAAAUGGCUCAUUUUCUGACUUAGAGGGGAAGAACUUGUAGUUUCAGAUGUACCACUUCUGCAGAUCAGUGAAAAGGGGGGAGACUUUGGUAUCAGUCCACUAGCUUAUCUCUCGCAAGCUGAGAGAAGUUAAUAUAAAGCAUUGUAAUCUCUUUCACAGCCUCCAGGACUCAUAAGAAACCAUAAGAAGAAGUUUCUCAAGCUUAAAGUGUUCUAUAGGAUACUAAAUCUUAAGUCUCCUGGAGGCCACUGGGGAAAUGAAAAGGUGUAGUUGUCACAUUUUGUCAAAGUAUAACAUCUAUAUAAUAAGCCAGUUAGCUCCCUUUCUUCAGACCCAGCCCAGCUUGACGUACUAGGGCCAUGUUCUUUGUUUUCCAGUUUUAUUGAUAUGGUGUGUUGUUUUUUUUUUUUGUUUUUUUUUUUAUCAAAGCAAAAUAAAGCUCACCUUGGGCCAGAUCCUCAGAUGUUUUAAAUUGGUGUUGCUCCGCUCUCACUGAUGAGACUGAUUUAUUUCAGCUGGGAACCUAGAUCCUGACUUACAUUCUCAUUCUCUGUUCUCUUUGAUACCUCUGGUCUUUUAGCUUCAAUUUCUACCCUAUUUUCUUCUGUUUAUUUAUAUCAAAACCAGCAAAAAAUGUUAUGUUUUCAUCCUCAACACUUAGCAAAUGUGCCUUGGUUAUAAGCUGGACAAGCAAAUGGAUGAUUGAAAGAGUUUGGUUUGCUUUGCAAAUCAGAUUUUGGCUUCUACAGAGAGGAAAGAGACUCUUCUUAAGAUGGGACCUCUGAAGAAGGAGUACAACCAAGAAAGGACAUCCUCUCAGCGAAUUAAGCUCUGUACAAGGCCUGACAUUUGACACUCGGGACCCCAGGACUUACACAGAGGCACAAGCUGAGGCCCUAGGGAGGAGGUAGGGAACUGGAGGGGGGGUGGAAAUCACAACAGGAGAGACUUUUUCACCCCCUUUUCUAUUUUUUUAAUUUAUUUUUUUUUAAAGAAGCUACAAAACAAAUUGUAAAUGUAAUAGGAAUUGAUUUAAGAGAAGAACAUCGCAUCAAGUUCUGUUCCCUGCAUUGCUCAGUUCAUGCUGACAAGGCUGAUCUGAAGAGGUGGGAGAAGAAAGGCAGGCUGAGAGGGCUUUAGGGAAGCAAGAAGAGGCUCAUACCCUUCUUUCUACAUACCCUAAGGUUACCAACUUGACCGAAGUUUUAUUCCAUUUUAGCACAGUUAACCUUCACUUCAGAACUUCCCAUUCAAGACAAGCAGACUGAAUAGCUCCCUGAGGCUCAUGAACCUGUUGGAAGCCAGCAUGGGCCUCAACCAGGUUGCCUAGACUAAAUAUCAGCAAACCUAGUUAUGAAAGCAAGUGAAUGCGUGGCAGUUCUGGGAACAGUAUG